AGGUGUAUAGCUCAGCUGGUAGAGCAAUAGACUUUUAAUCUAGUGGUCUUGGGUUCAAAUCCCAAUACACCUA
rnacentral:tRNA from 1 species